AAAUUGAAGAGUUUGAUCAUGGCUCAGAUUGAACGCUGGCGGCAGGCCUAACACAUGCAAGUCGAGCGGAAACGAGUUGUCUGAACCUUCGGGGGACGAUAACGGCGUCGAGCGGCGGACGGGUGAGUAAU
rnacentral:rRNA from 1 species